GACGAACGCUGGCGGCGUGCUUAACACAUGCAAGUCGAACGGAAAGGCCCUGCUUGCAGGGUACUCGAGUGGCGAACGGGUGAGUAACACUUGGGUGAUCUGCCCUGCACUUCGGGAUAAGCCUGGGAAACUGGGUCUAAUACCGGAUAGGAGCCAGUUUUAGUGUGAUGGUUGGAAAGUUUUUUCGGUGUAGGAUGAGCUCGCGGCCUAUCAGCGUGUUGGUGGGGUAAUGGCCUACCAAGGCGGCGACGGGUAGCCGGCCUGAGAGGGUGGACGGCCACAUUGGGACUGAGAUACGGCCCAGACUCCUACGGGAGGCAGCAGUGGGGAAUAUUGCACAAUGGGCGCAAGCCUGAUGCAGCGACGCCGCGUGGGGGAUGACGGCCUUCGGGUUGUAAACUCCUUUCGCUAGGGACGAAGCUUUUGUGACGGUACCUAGAGAAGAAGCACCGGCUAACUACGUG
rnacentral:rRNA from 1 species